AGCUGUUCUCCUUCAAAAGAUUUUUUCUUUUUUUUAACAAGCCCAAAAUAGGCACUAUUUUCAUCAUUAUAGAUAAACUAUAUGUGAUUUGUUAUCUCCUAUGACAAGUUUUCUCUUCCAGAAGAAAUCUAGAUAAUAUACACAUGUGUUUGUACGAGCACUAAUAAAAAAAGGAGUAUUGUAAUUUGUUGUGUUUCUAUGAGUCCAUGAAAUUGUAGUAAUAUUAGUUGUAACUAUGGGCAAAAGGAACCCAAGAUCGAUAAGGAUAAUCAGUAUAAUUCGUAUUUACACGUAGCCAAUUACCUUCACAUGAACAUGGAAUGGACUUUGGCUAUCAAAGCCUACAAUAAUCUCCUAGCCUUCUUAGCAACAAGAAUUCUACAAGCAAAAAAUGAUUUCUCAGAGAGAGAAAUAUCAACGGAAGAUUGAUGAUUGUGUUCGAAUAAUGGAAAUUAUAGAGUGUAGACGAAGUGAUCAGUGUAUAUUUUGCUCAAAGACAAAAAUAAGUUCGGAUGCAAUCAUAUACGAAUAGCAGAAGGAGAUAUUGGUCACAGUUAUGAUAAUCUAUUUUCCAGGUACGUGGAUGAUCGUAUUAUGACUGUGAAUAUAGAUGCCGCUUAUAUUCAAAGGCCACAUCAGGUGAAUCGUAAAUACUAGAGUAAUGGGUUUAUUUCGUUAUGUAUUCCCACAAUAGAUGUUAAUACUUUAUAAAAAAAUAUAUGAACUGCUACCUGAAUAUAUGUUUUUCUGAGGAUUUGUUGGGGAGUUACAAGUGUAAGUCCUUUUUGGACUCGGAGUGGAAUUGGGGAUCGACAUCAUAUUAAUUCUUGCCUACAUCAUUGCUUGAUACGCAGUGGGAUUUGUGUUUAUUUUCUUCAUUUCAUAGCUGGUCGCAGCUAAUUUCAUGCAACAUCAUGGUAACUAUCCUGCUCUUCUCCCAAACAUUCUUAAAACCAUCACGGUGAGCACGUUAAUUGCUUGGUUGUUUUUGGUUUUUUUUUCAUAUCGGUGGAUAGUAAUAUUUUCAUCUAUGGUAAUAAAAAGUAUGAAAUAAAUAAUUAAAAUCACAUUUACAUUAUCAGGGAAUAUAUAUUGUAACUUUAGUAUCCAAAAGUCCCGAAAAAACGUUGAGCGAUUUUGAAUAUUUUUAAAGUUUUGUUUUGUAAAUAUUUUUCGUAUUGUUUUUCGAAGGGACUUGUGUUCCUUAUUAUAUGUUUUGUGUUUCUAUUCCAAUGACAAACACAUUUUAAGAAUAAUAGGGUCAGAGACGACCUCGGUAUAGAAGAACUUGACCAAGUACAUUGGAGCUAAAAUAUGUUCGAUCCAAACGAUUGAUUCAUUCGCAUUGUCUAUUGAAUCUCAAUCUUCAAUCAAUGAUUGUAGAUGGCCUCUCUUCUUUAUACCUUUUUCCCCUAUCUAAUUUAUUUAUUGAUCUUUUUUCAUGGUUUUUGUUACAGCGGUUCUUGGAACCAACAUACAAUAAAAUGAAUCAAUUAUAUUAACUAUUCAAUACUUAAUCAUUUCAGCUUGUGGCAAAUAGUUAAACAUUUUAACCUAUACAAAAUUGGAGCAACAUGAAUAAUCAUAAUUAUAAAAUAUUGUAGCAUUAAUCAUCCCCUAAGAUAUUUAUUAAUUUUUUAUGCAACAAGAUUUUCGGCAAAGUGUCUGCACACGUAAUAAAUCAUACUAUAGUACA
rnacentral:lncRNA from 1 species